rnacentral:rRNA from 1 species
GACGAACCGUGCGAACGUUGUUCGGAAUCACUGGGCUUAAAGGGCGCGUAGGCGGGCACAAAAAGUCAGAGGUGAAAGCCCCCGGCUCAACCGGGGAAGUGCCUUUGAUACUGUGUGUCUCGAGGGGGAUAGGGGCGUGCGGAACUUCCGGUGGAGCGGUGAAAUGCGUAGAGAUGCGGAGGAACACCGAUGGCGAAGGCAGCCCCCUGGGCUGACACUGACGCUCAGGCACGAAAGCGUGGGGAGCAAACAGGAUAGAUA